UGGUCCAUCCUAGUCCUUCUGGUCAGCCUGGGGCCUGCCAGGUUUUGCCUGUGGGCCAGAGCACCCUGAGAGGCCUCACCCACAAGAGUCUUCAGGGGGGCUCCUGCCAUGGGAGCUUCUAGACAUGG